GUGAGUAACCUGCCCUUGACUCUGGGAUAAGCGCUAGAAAUGGCGUCUAAUACCGGAUACGAGCUUCAGCCGCAUGGCUAGGAGUUGGAAAGAAUUUUGGUCAAGGAUGGACUCGCGGCCUAUCAGCUAGUUGGUGAGGUAAUGGCUCACCAAGGCGACGACGGGUAGCCGGCCUGAGAGGGUGACCGGCCACACUGGGACUGAGACACGGCCCAGACUCCUACGGGAGGCAGCAGUGGGGAAUAUUGCACAAUGGGCGAAAGCCUGAUGCAGCAACGCCGCGUGAGGGAUGACGGCCUUCGGGUUGUAAACCUCUUUUAGUAGGGAAGAAGCGAAAGUGACGGUACCUGCAGAAAAAGCACCGGCUAACUACGUGCCAGCAGCCGCGGUAAUACGUAGGGUGCAAGCGUUGUCC
rnacentral:rRNA from 9 species